AGCUUAUCGAGUUUUUAUGAUAAGUUUUUUCUGCCCGGUGAAAGUAAACGGCCGCGGUAUCUUGACCGUGCAAAGGUAGCAUAAUAAUUUGUCCUUUAAUUGGGGACUGGAAUGAAGGAAAGUUUGAAAUUUUUUUUGUCUUAAAAUGUUUUGUAGAAUUUGCUGUUUUUGUGAAGAAGCAAAGGUGGAAAAAAAAGACAAGAAGACCCCAUUAAGCUUAAUUUUUAUAAAUUUUUAUUGUGGGCUUGUCGUAUCGGAAUAUUUGUUUUAAAAAAUUUGGUUGGGGCGACUAAAAAGGACCUAGAUCCUCUUUUGUUUAUUUAAACGUUAAGUUCAAUAAUGAUCCAAAAUUUUUUGAUUGUUUGAAUAAGUUACUAUGGGGAUAACAGCGUAAUUUUUUCGGAGAGUUCUUAUUGAUGAAAAAGUUUGCGACCUCGAUGUUGACUUGUUAUUUCCUUAAAAGGUGCAGGAGUUGUAAGGGUUGAUCUGUUCGAUCAUUAAAAUAAC
rnacentral:rRNA from 1 species